CUACGGGGCGCUCCAGUGGGGAAUAUUGCACAGUGGGCGCAAGCCUGAUGCAGCCAUGCCGCGUGUAUGAAGAAGGCCUUCGGGUUGUAAAGUACUUUCAGCGGGGAGGAAGGGAGUAAAGUUAAUACCUUUGCUCAUUGACGUUACCCGCAGAAGAAGCACCGGCAACUCCGUGCCAGCAGCCGCGGUAAUACGGAGGGUGCAAGCGUUAAUCGGAAUUACUGGGCGUAAAGCGCACGCAGGCGGUUUGUUAAGUCAGAUGUGAAAUCCCCGGGCUCAACCUGGGAACUGCAUCUGAUACUGGCAAGCUUGAGUCUCGUAGAGGGGGGUAGAAUUCCAGGUGUAGCGGUGAAAUGCGUAGAGAUCUGGAGGAAUACCGGUGGCGAAGGCGGCCCCCUGGACGAAGACUGACGCUCAGGUGCGAAAGCGUGGGGAGCAAACAGGAUUAGAAACCCCCGUAGUC
rnacentral:rRNA from 1 species